rnacentral:ncRNA from 1 species
AUGAUAUCAACAUGUUCCCCUGGUGCAGAUCUUGGUGGUAGUAGCAAAUAUUCAAAUUAGAACUUUGAAGAGUGAAGUGGGGAAAUGUUCCAUGUGAACAUCACUUGGACAUGGCUGGUUAGUUGAUCCUAAGAGAUGGGGAAUCCUUGUAUCAAGGGUGCACUCUGCAUGAACAUCAAAAGAGAAUUGGGUUAAUAUUCCUGAACCAGGACAUGGUGGUGGACGACAAUGUUAGGAAAUCUGGAGAUGUCAUCGGGGGCCUGGGAGGCGUUAUCUUUUCUUUUUAACGACUUUCCCACCCUAAAUCGGUUCAACUGGAGAUAGGGUCCAACAUCUGGAAGAUCACCACAUGUCUUGCGAUGUUUGGUGCCUCCUCGACGACCAUUGAAAAUAUGGAGAACCGAGUACCAUCCAUGCCUGAUCGUACUCAUAUAUACCUCCUUGGAUUUUUUAAUGCCC